UCUGACUCCACCACAGUCCUCAUGCCUUUCACAGUCAUGUAGCUGGGUUUGCCUCAAAACUGUAUGUCUUAGCUACAUCACACAUGAGUUUGAGACAUAAUUAAUAUUAAUAAAGACCAUUAUGUAAAAUUAGCCACAGACAGGAGAUUCUUUAAAAGGUGAAAUCAUAAUAGUCAUGAUCAGAGUGUCUGUGUUGCUGGGAAACUGGGAGCUGUCCUGGGCUGCUCCUCAAUAUUUGCCUUUCAUUACAGAUCUUUUCUCCCUACUUGUGGAAAAUGGGGUUUUAAAGGAGAGAAACAAUGAUGACUACAAAGAAAAUUCUUUCUCUGAGUUUUGGCAUUUUUUGCAGUUGGGUCUCGGGUCUGGCAGCUCAAAGACAUGUGGAGAUUCCUUAGCAAUUCCCUGCAAGGAAAACCAGCAGCAGCACAGAUACCUUGACUGCUGGGCAUUAUUUACAGCUCAUACAGAAAACCAGGAGCAGUCUUACAGCACACUGCUAACCUGUCCAGGCUGGAUUUUGGAACAGCUGAAGCAUGGUACGAAGACACUCUCUGGCACUGGAUGUGAACCUCCCUCCCAAGCCAGGACACCUGCAGGAGGAGGAAAGCUCUGCUGGCCUGCUCAGGGAGAAAAGCACGACACCAUUUACACCUCAGUUGGUCUUUCCUGUCUUGUGGGGUGGGACUGGACAGGACAAGGGCUGGAAUGGCGUGUCCUGCCUGCGGGAUAGCCUUUCACAAGGGAGAGCAGAGCGACUGAGGCAGCUGAAAUCCAUGUUCCCUGUAGGUCCCUUCCAAAUGAAUUAUUCUAAAUCUACUUCUAUUUUCACCAUCCAUCACCCAGAACCACGGAGUUUUGCCUGUAGCAGUCAAAUGUCUCCAUGUGAAGCCCUGUGUGGUCCAAGGAGUUGUGUUACCCCCUCGCCACAUCACGUGUGGAAAGUGUGAAAAGCCAGCAAAAAGGCAGCACAGGAAAGGAAGCCAGGGAGGGAUUGGCAGGGGUGUCUGCUGAGAUGCUCAAGGAUCCCUGAGAAGCAGGAGGAGCUACAGGAGCUCUCCUGAGCCAGGAAGGGCACUGAAGCUGUUCACCUGACUACUGAUGGACCUCAUUUCCCCCAGUCUACCCUUAAGAGCCCUCUAAAAGCCCCAGCUCUUCCACUCUGGGGGAUGCAUGAAAUGUGAGAUGUAUUAGAUGCAUUCGGCAAUAGCAGCAAACUUAGAGAAAACAGGAAAAUCAACAGCAACAACAACAGAAAAAGGAAUCUUGAAAUUUGGCAGAAAAAAAAUGCAGUGCAAAGCCCACAAGAAGGUGAGCAUCUUUGCACAAAGCCACUUACGGAUGCAUUCCUUAAAGGUAAUCCCUUCAGACAGUGUGAGGCUGCCAUUUCUUUGAAAGAUAUUAAAGCAGCUGUUGCUAGAACACAGAGAAUUACUGAGCUAUCUGCCAAGGGAUGGACCUUUGUAAUGCUAUAUUUACUUUCUUUUUUUUUAAUUUACAGUUUAUUUUGAUACCAAAUUUUCAGCUAGUGAAGGUAAUUGAGACUGCAAACAAAAUCUCACUAUCCACUGAUCUGCCAAAUCAAAUUUUUUCUCCUGUAAGUAUAGUGUUUUUCCUUAGCUUCAGAGAGGAAAACAAUUAUGCAGAAUGAAUGAGAAAGCAAAGGGGUUAGUUUAGGAAGGGAUUAGUUUAUAUAAUGACCAUAGCAGCCAUCUCUCCAUUGAUCUGUCGUAGCUCAUUCCCAAAGAUGUGAAUUAUUACUAUUGUUAUUUACAACAGAGCUUGUCCAUUUUCCUUCUGCUGCAUCUGCUUACCACUCUCCAAAUUAACACAUAUUUCAUAAAAACUAAAUAUCCUGACUAUAGCUGGGAUACUGGAUGACCCCAGCUGAGAUAUGGAUGCAGCAAGAUUCUUCCCAUCUUUGUGUUGCCCUCCUGGAAUGACUGUGCACUGCCCUGGUCCUCAAAAGGAAUCAAAGUAGCCAUGAGGCUAUUUUGAUGACUUUUGGCUACCAGAGGCCUCAAAAGAGGGCAUCUAAGGCAGUAAAUUAGUAGCUGUGUGUCUCCUGUGCUGUUUGCAAGUUGUGUGGUGUUUCUGAGGGGUCUCUAGGAGCUCUCUGUCUCUGGAGCAGCUCCUGCUCCAUGACGUGCCCCUACACCAGCACAGGGGCUGGGUGGAUGGCAGCAGGAAUGGCUCAGGGAGCUGAGCUCCCCUCGUGGCUUCUUCCCUAGCUAAUGUCAGAAAACAGAACAGCUCUAAAGGUCUUCAAAAUGACAUGGGAUUUUUGUUCUCUUUGGGGACUACUCGCACUCCCAUGGACCAGUCCCAUCCAUCUGGUUCUCCUGGGCUGUGGUAAUCAAAUCUGAUGCCAACAUGUCAACUGGGCUUUCCUCCUUCUCUCUCCUGUCUGCACUGAGAUUUUCAUUGGCAUCAACUCUUACUGAGAGAUGUUUUUCAAUCAAAGUGUUGAAGAGUUCAACGCUUGUUCAUACGCUUGUUCUCCUGAAGUCGCUUUAACACUUUUGUAGCUCUAAGGUGAGCCAAUUCACCUCUAAAAUUCAGGUAUUCACACCUAAUCACUCCAGCAGGGUGCUCCUCCAGGGUGGGAAGCAGCCCUGAGGUGACAGCUCUGCAGCAUUUUGGGGGACUCCGAAAAGUGAUGGGAUUUAACUCUGAAGAACUCAUAGAAAACUCACAGAGCCUCUGUCCUUCACUUCAAAACAUCUGUUAAUUCUACUUGUGUGCUCACCAUCGAAAGCCUGCCUAUAUUUUUCCUUUCAGGUUUGUGAAAAUAAGCACCCGUGAAUGAAGAUGAAAGAGAAAUGUUGCUGGUUUCUUCCCUGGAGAUCGUAUUUCUUACUUGUUGCAUAACUGCUUAUUUUAGCAUCAAUCAGCCAAGCCUUUGUUGUGCAGACAAUUCUGUCCUUUUAAAGGAUUUGUGCAGUAUUGUUUCUUCCAAAACGCAUUUUUUUUUUGUUUUUAUUAUUAGAUUUAUUUGCUAUCUUAGCAAAUGCCAACUGACAACACCCUGCAACACCCUGUCAGAGCUCUUCAUAAGUGUUACAUAAAUGUCAUACUAUGUAAACUGCGUGUUGUAUGUAACAUAUACAUGACCUUUCUGGAGAACCAUCCAUCAGGUGCUGUGUGUGUCACGUUCAUGCAUUUGUACACAAACUGUGUUUAAGUGUGCAUAUAUGGUAGCCAAAAAUCUCUUUAGGGGAGUACUCAAAAAGCAGAGCUGUCCAAACUCUUGUCAGUGCAACUUCAUCUACACCCUUUAGCUGAAGCAGAACAAGACUUCAGUUGCAUGUCCAGAUACUCCUUUCCUUCUGCACCACUGUGUGUGCAGUGAGAUGGUCAGAGAGGGGCUCAGCAAUGCCAUUGCUCAGCACAUGAGCCUAGGCAGAGCACAUUAUCCAGAGCACUACCCACACGUCUGGUCACUUUUGGAUUUCACAGCAAUAGAAAACACAGCUCCAAUAUUUCUCCAUGCAGUUUUCAAAACAGAGCAAGGUGCUCAUGUUCUGGAUGGUAAAAAUCUACUCAGGUUGCAACCAGGCAUGCUGUGGACCUGCCAUGCCCUGCCAUGAGCUUCUUGAGAGGUGUACUCCAGAAAUCCUGGAGAAAUGGCCCAGAGGGUGGUAAGGCUGUAGCAUGCUGCACAGGACCAGAGCAGCGACCUGCAGGUUCCUCAAAAGACAGAAUUAUUAAUUUCCUCAUGGCUUUUUCUAUGGCACUUUCCACUACACUGCCUCAGUGCUUCAGCACCUCCAUUAAUCCUCCCCAAACACUCAUUCUGAAGAUGGGUCAGAGUGACACAUGGAUGGAUUAAGGUCAGUUUUGACUAAUUCAGGGCACUCCAUCUGAAAAGCAUAACGUCUGCGUUUUCAGAGCAUUUAACAUGAUACAGCACUUCAUACAUGCAAGCACAGCACCCACUGCUUCCAGCUGCACAAAGAUGGAUGUCAGCAAUUCAGGCUAAAGGCUUCCAGCCACGCACCACAGUGUGGGCAAUACAGCCAGCAGCA